CAGAUGUGAAAGACCCGGGGCGUCAACCUCGGAAUUGCAUUUGAAACUAGGCAAACUAGAGUACUGUAGAGGGGGGUAGGAAGUUUCAGGUGUAGCGGUGAAAUGCGUAGAGAUCUGAAGGAAUACCGGUGGCGAAGGCGGCCCCCUCGGACAGAUACUGACACUCAGAUGCGAAAGCGUGGGGAGCAAACAGGAUUAGAUACCCUGGUAG
rnacentral:rRNA from 1 species